rnacentral:lncRNA from 1 species
ACGUACUGCCUCUACCUAUGGUAUUUCUGCCCUUUUUCCCCUGGUCUGAUGAGGACUCGGGGUCUGCGUACUCAAUACAUCUGCCUCUGCCGUGGGGCGAACUGACACACAAAACUGACAUCCACAUGGCUCAAUCAGGGAGAGCAAGAGGAGAAAGUCAUCGUGUAGGAGGGAAGCAGCUGAUUAUAUAGAACGUGUGUACUCCUGGAUACAGACACUUUAACUUUCACGCAUCUGCCAAUAUAAAGAAUACGUCACCA